AUUUAAAAGACAGUAGUUAAAUUCUACUAUUAAGGG
rnacentral:tRNA from 1 species